rnacentral:piRNA from 1 species
UGCAAUUGGAAUGGUCCUCUACAAGAGC